UGAAUGCUAGGUGUUGGAGGGUUUCCGCCCUUCAGUGCCGCAGCUAACGCAAUAAGCAUUCCGCCUGGGGAGUACGACCGCAAGGUUGAAACUCAAAGGAAUUGACGGGGGCCCGCACAAGCGGUGGAGCAUGUGGUUUAAUUCGAAGCAACGCGAAGAACCUUACCAGGUCUUGACAUCCUUUGACCACCUAAGAGAUUAGGCUUUCCCUUCGGGGACAAAGUGACAGGUGGUGCAUGGCUGUCGUCAG
rnacentral:rRNA from 1 species